CGGCAUGUAGUGUAGUGGUUCGCACGCGGCCCUGUGAAGGCCGAGGUGAGGGGUUCGAUUCCCCCCGCGCCGCCCU
rnacentral:tRNA from 1 species